GUCAAUCACCCCGCCUAAGUUCUAGCGAACUAUAGGCGAGGCUUGUAAGCAGGAAAGAAUUACAUUCAGUUCUGCUGUCAGGCCUGAUUGAUAAGCCUAAGUGCCCCGGGCACUACGUUAUACAGGAAUAUAUAGGUACCGUUGGAUACUCCACUAGUCCAACGCUCUA
rnacentral:sRNA from 1 species